UGAGGAAUAUUGCUCAAUGGCCGCAAGGCUGAAGCAGCAACGCCGCGUGAGGGAUGAAGGAUCUAUGGUCUGUAAACCUCUGUAGAGAAGGAAAAAUAACCCAUUAUAUGGGCUUGAUAGUACUUCUAGAGUAAGCCCCGGCUAACUACGUGCCAGCAGCCGCGGUAAUACGUAGGGGGCGAGCGUUGUCCGGAAUCACUGGGUGUAAAGGGUGCUCAGGCGGGUCGAUAAGUCAGAGGUGAAAUUUCACAGCUGAACUGUGAAUUUGCUUUUGAUACUGUCGGUCUAGAGUUCAGAAGAGGGCAAUGGAAUUCUUGGUGUAGCGGUAAAAUGCAUAGAUAUCAAGAAGAACACCAGUUGCGAAUGCGGUUGCCUGGUCUGUAACUGACGCUCAAGCACGAAAGCGUGGGGAUCAAACA
rnacentral:rRNA from 1 species